UACGGAGGGUGCAAGCGUUAUCCGGAUUCACUGGGUUUAAAGGGUGCGUAGGUGGGCAGGUAAGUCAGUGGUGAAAUCUCCGGGCUUAACCCGGAACUGCCGUUGAUACUAUUUGUCUUGAAUAUAGUGGAGGUGAGCGGAAUAUGUCAUGUAGCGGUGAAAUGCUUAGAUAUGACAUAGAACAUCGAUUGCGAAGGCAGCUCGCUACACUAUUAUUGACACUGAGGCACGAAAGCGUGGGGUCAAACAGG
rnacentral:rRNA from 1 species